rnacentral:misc_RNA from 1 species
GAAACAAAACAAGUAAAUGACAUACUAUAUGUUAUGGAACUUAGAGUAAUUUUAUUCCUAUCCCUUGGGAAAGCAUUGGUUCUUAGAAAACAGUAAAAGGAUGAUGAUAUGAUUGCAUGCAUAUCUGCUAGGAAAUCAAUGUUUCUAAUGGUUCAACUGAAUACUGGUUUCUCUUACGGCUGAAAAUUUGUCUGCCUUUUU